rnacentral:rRNA from 1 species
CCUACGGGAGGCUGCAGUGGGGAAUAUUGGACAAUGGGGGGAACCCUGAUCCAGCCAUGCCGCGUGUGUGAAGAAGGCCCUCGGGUUGUAAAGCACUUUCAGUGAGGAAGAACGCCUGGUGGUUAAUACCCAUCAGGAAAGACAUCACUCACAGAAGAAGCACCGGCUAACUCCGUGCCAGCAGCCGCGGUAAUACGGAGGGUGCGAGCGUUAAUCGGAAUUACUGGGCGUAAAGCGCGCGUAGGUGGCUUGAUAAGCCGGUUGUGAAAGCCCCGGGCUCAACCUGGGAACGGCAUCCGGAACUGUCAAGCUAGAGUGCAGGAGAGGAAGGUAGAAUUCCCGGUGUAGCGGUGAAAUGCGUAGAGAUCGGGAGGAAUACCAGUGGCGAAAGCGGCCUUCUGGACUGACACUGACACUGAGGUGCGAAAGCGUGGGUAGCAAACAGGAUUAGAUACCCUAGUAGUC